GAUGAACGCUGGCGGCGUGCCUAAUACAUGCAAGUCGAGCGAACACACGAGGAACUUGCCCCCCUGACGGUCGCGGCGCACGCGGGAGUAACACAUGGCUAACCUACCUAUAAGACUGGGAUAACCUCGUCAAACCAGAGCCAAUACCCGCUAAUAUAUUGAACCGCAUGGCUCAAUAGUUAAAGACCGUUUUGCUUUCACUUAUCGGUGGAUCCGCGCCGGAUUAGCUAGGUGGUAAGGUAACGGCUUACCAAGGCAACGAUGCGUAGCCGGCCUGAGAGGGUGAUCGGCCACACUGGAACUGAGACACGGCCCAGACUCCUACGGGAGGCAGCAGUAGGGAAUUUUCGGCAAUGGGCGAAAGCUUGACGGAGCAACGCCGCGUGAGUGAUGAAGGUCUUCGGGUCGUAAAGCUCUGUUGUUAGGGAAGAACAAGUGGGUAAGUAAAUAGGCAGGUGUUGACGGUACCUGAUCAGAAAGCCACGGCUAACUACGUG
rnacentral:rRNA from 1 species